rnacentral:rRNA from 1 species
UACGUAGGGUCCGAGCGUUGUCCGGAAUUAUUGGGCGUAAAGGGCUCGUAGGCGGUUUGUCGCGUCUGCUGUGAAAUCCCGAGGCUCAACCUCGGGCCUGCAGUGGGUACGGGCAGACUGGAGUGCGGUAGGGGAGAAUGGAAUUCCUGGUGUAGCGGUGGAAUGCGCAGAUAUCAGGAGGAACACCGAUGGCGAAGGCAGCUCGCUGGGACGGUACUGACGCUGAGACGCGAAAGCGUGGGGAGCGAACAGG